CCAGACCUGAUCACUAGUCUGGAGGAAAGGAAAGAACCCUGGAAUGUGAAGAGACACAGCACAUUAGCCAAACCACCAGGGACUGUUGACAAAGAUGUGGCCAUAGAAUUCUCUCCAGAGGAGUGGUAAUACCUAGACCCCACUCAUCAGAUAUUGCCCUGGAAUGUGAUGUUAGAGAAGCACAGAAACUUUGUUUUCCUAGAUGAGAACUGUCUUAACACAAAAUUCCUACUUUAUACUAAGGAUUUCAUAUCCUUUUUUGUAGAAUGUUUUCUGGUAAAUUCUACCUCGUGCAAAUGAGUUUCAGAUUCCUGCUAUCAAAUAAAACUUGAUGAUUUGUUAACAUAGAAAAGAAAAAAUUAAAGAUGUUUCAUUUUGA